ensembl:ncRNA F19C6.11 ncRNA
GAGUGUGUGUGUGUGGGGGGGGGGGGGGGUGAGGCAAGGGCGGCCGGUGCGCAAAUCGGCGACACUGGCCAAGAGGCCGCAGAGAAAACAUGUUCGACCGCUAGACACGCAGGCCACCGCUGGUCCGCGCACGCGUGUGCUGCGCGCUCUUCUCCCGAUUUUUUGCGGCAUC